UUUCCUGGUAUACAAACAGCUGUUCCACUGUUAUGUGUAAUUGUUUAAAAAUUAGUUCAUUUUUUCUGGGACUAUUACACUAACAUAAUUAUAUAUUAGUCCUAGAUAUUUUGUAUCAGGUAAACAAAAUGAUCUUCAUUCCGAUGUUUGUUAUUUCUGUGAUUGGACUAUUUAACUAUUGCAAUUGUUACGAAGUAGUGGGAAGAUGUAUCAAAUUUGGAAAAGAUGAGCAAAUGUACACACUUAUUGGAGGAGAUCGUAAAUGCAUAAAAGAAAACGAUUUCACAUAUUGUAGAGAAUGGGCAUGUCAUCCUAAAUGUUCAAGUUUUAAUAAUUGGCCUGGAAUAUGCGAACCAUGUCCAGGAGAUACAUGUGCUGAUGUUGGACAAAUUUUUGAUAAAGGUGAUUUCUUUAAAUGUGCUGAUAACGCCAACAACUGUCAAUGUGGCAAUAACAACAGGAUAAAAUCAACAAGGAAAAGUGCCAGUGUUAAAGAGAUGUGUCUUGAUAAUCUUAGAAAGGCUGUCAAGCCAUAAAUGAUUUUAAAACUAAUGUGCAUUAUUCAAAUCAAUUUAUAAUAUA